rnacentral:rRNA from 1 species
UGGAUCCAGACUUUGAUCCUGGCUCAGGAUGAACGCUGGCGGCGUGCCUAAUACAUGCAAGUCGAACGAAACUUCUUUAUCACCGAGUGCUUGCACUCACCGAUAAAGAGUUGAGUGGCGAACGGGUGAGUAACACGUGGGCAACCUGCCCAAAAGAGGGGGAUAACACUUGGAAACAGGUGCUAAUACCGCAUAACCAUAGUUACCGCAUGGUAACUAUGUAAAAGGUGGCUAUGCUACCGCUUUUGGAUGGGCCCGCGGCGCAUUAGCUAGUUGGUGGGGUAAAGGCUUACCAAGGCAAUGAUGCGUAGCCGAACUGAGAGGUUGAUCGGCCACAUUGGGACUGAGACACGGCCCAAACUCCUACGGGAGGCAGCAGUAGGGAAUCUUCCACAAUGGGCGAAAGCCUGAUGGAGCAACGCCGCGUGGGUGAAGAAGGUCUUCGGAUCGUAAGACCCUGUUGUUAGAGAAGAAAGUGCGUGAGAGUAACUGUUCACGUUUCGACGGUAUCUAACCAGAAAGCCACGGCUAACUACGUGCCAGCAGCCGCGGUAACACGUAGGUGGCAAGCGUUAUCCGGAUUUAUUGGGCGUAAAGGGAACGCAGGCGGUCUUUUAAGUCUGAUGUGAAAGCCUUCGGCUUAACCGGAGUAGUGCAUUGGAAACUGGGAGACUUGAGUGCAGAAGAGGAGAGUGGAACUCCAUGUGUAGCGGUGAGAUGCGUAGAUAUAUGGAAGAACACCAGUGGCGAAAGCGGCUCUCUGGUCUGUAACUGACGCUGAGGUUCGAAAGCGUGGGUAGCAAACAGGAUUAGAUACCCUGGUAGUCCACGCCGUAAACGAUGAAUGCUAAGUGUUGGAGGGUUUCCGCCCUUCAGUGCUGCAGCUAACGCAAUAAGCAUUCCGCCUGGGGAGUACGACCGCAAGGUUGCAACUCAAAGGAAUUGACGGA